rnacentral:rRNA from 1 species
AUUGAACGCUGGCGGCAGGCUUAACACAUGCAAGUCGAGCGGGGUGAUGGUGCUUGCACUAUCACUUAGCGGCGGACGGGUGAGUAAUGCUUAGGAAUCUGCCUAUUAGUGGGGGACAACAUCUCGAAAGGGAUGCUAAUACCGCAUACGUCCUACGGGAGAAAGCAGGGGAUCACUUGUGACCUUGCGCUAAUAGAUGAGCCUAAGUCGGAUUAGCUAGUUGGUGGGGUAAGGGCCUACCAAGGCGACGAUCUGUAGCGGGUCUGAGAGGAUGAUCCGCAAGACUGGGACUGAGAAACGGCCCAGACUCCUACGGGAGGCAGCAGUGGGGAAUAUUGGACAAUGGGGGGAACCCUGAUCCAGCCAUGCCGCGUGUGUGAAGAAGGCCUUAUGGUUGUAAAGCACUUUAAGCGAGGAGGAGGCUCUUUUGGUUAAUACCCAAGAUGAGUGGACGUUACUCGCAGAAUAAGCACCGGCUAACUCUGUGCCAGCAGCCGCCGUAA